rnacentral:rRNA from 1 species
CGGCCGCGUCGACGCAAGUUGAGCGAUGAAGAUUGGUGCUUGCACCAAUUUGAAGAGCAGCGAACGGGUGAGUAACGCGUGGGGAAUCUGCCUUUGAGCGGGGGACAACAUUUGGAAACGAAUGCUAAUACCGCAUAAUAACUUUAAACAUAAGUUUUAAGUUUGAAAGAUGCAAUUGCAUCACUCAAAGAUGAUCCCGCGUUGUAUUAGCUAGUUGGUGAGGUAAAGGCUCACCAAGGCGAUGAUACAUAGCCGACCUGAGAGGGUGAUCGGCCACAUUGGGACUGAGACACGGCCCAAACUCCUACGGGAGGCAGCAGUAGGGAAUCUUCGGCAAUGGACGAAAGUCUGACCGAGCAACGCCGCGUGAGUGAAGAAGGUUUUCGGAUCGUAAAACUCUGUUGGUAGAGAAGAACGUUGGUGAAAGCAACCUGACGGUACCAGAGGAAUCAGCAUC